rnacentral:rRNA from 1 species
CCCGCUGAACUUAAGCAUAUCAAUAAGCGGAGGAAAAGAAACUAACAAGGAUUCCCCUAGUAACUGCGAGUGAAGCGGGAAAAGCUCAAAUUUAAAAUCUGGCGGUCUCUGGCCGUCCGAGUUGUAAUCUGGAGAAGCGUUUUCUGCGUUGGACCGUGCACAAGUUUUCUGGAACGGAACGUCAUAGAGGGUGAGAAUCCCGUCUUUGACACGGACUACCGAUGCUAUGUGAUACGCUCUCGAAGAGUCGAGUUGUUUGGGAAUGCAGCUCAAAAUGGGUGGUAAAUUCCAUCUAAAGCUAAAUAUUGGCGAGAGACCGAUAGCGAACAAGUACCGUGAGGGAAAGAUGAAAAGCACUUUGGAAAGAGAGUUAAACAGUACGUGAAAUUGUUGAAAGGGAAACGUUUGAAGUCAGUCGCGUCGGCCGAGACUCAACCUUACUUAUGUUUGGUGCACUUCUCGGUGGACGGGUCAACAUCAAUUUCGGUCGUCGGAUAAAGGCCUGGGGAAUGUGGCAUCUUUCGGGAUGUGUUAUAGCCCUGGGUUCAGAUACGACGGUUGGGAUUGAGGAACUCAGCACGCCUUUUAUGGUCGGGGUUCGCCCACGUCAACGUGCUUAGGAUGUUGGCAUAAUGGCUUUAAGCGACCCGUCUUGAAACACGG